AAUCAACGCUGGCGGCGUGCCUCAGACAUGCAAGUCGAACGCGAAAGUCCCCUUCGGGGGACAAGUAGAGUGGCGCACGGGUGAGUAACACGUAGGUAAUCUACCUUUGGAUGGGGAAUAACAACCGGAAACGGUUGCUAAUACCGCAUAAUGCAGCGGCACCUAAUGGUGACAGUUGUUAAAGCGGGGGAUCGAAAGACCUCGCGUCUGAAGAGGAGCCUGCGGCGGAUUAGCUAGUUGGUAAGGUAACGGCUUACCAAGGCGACGAUCCGUAGCCGGCCUGAGAGGGCGGUCGGCCACACUGACACUGACAUACGGGUCAGACUCCUACGGGAGGCAGCAGUCGGGAAUUUCGGGCAAUGGGCGAAAGCCUGACCCAGCAACGCCGCGUGAAGGAUGAAAUCCCUCGGG
rnacentral:rRNA from 1 species